CGGAUUCUGGCUCAGAUUGAACGCUGGCGGCGUGCUUAACACAUGCAAGUCGCGCGUGAAAGGACUUCGGUCCGAGUAAAGCGGCGCACGGGUGAGUAACGCGUGGAUGAUCUACCCAUGAGUUAGGAAUAACGGCUGGAAACGGUCGCUAAUACCAAAUACGCUCCGAUUUCAACUUCGGGGGAAAGGUGGCCUCUGCUUGCAAGCUACUGCUCAUGGAUGAGUCCGCGUCCCAUUAGCUAGUUGGUGGGGUAACGGCCCACCAAGGCGACGAUGGGUAGCCGGUCUGAGAGGAUGACCGGCCACACUGGGACUGGAACACGGCCCAGACUCCUACGGGAGGCAGCAGUGGGGAAUAUUGCGCAAUGGGCGAAAGCCUGACGCAGCGACGCCGCGUGAGGGAUGAAAAGGUCCUCGGAUCGUAAACCUCUGUCAGGAGGGAAGAACCGCCACGGUGCUAAUCAGCCGUGGUCUGACGGUACCUCCAAAGGAAGCACCGGCUAACUCCGUGCCAGCAGCUGC
rnacentral:rRNA from 1 species